rnacentral:rRNA from 1 species
AAAUUGAAGAGUUUGAUCAUGGCUCAGAUUGAACGCUGGCGGCAGGCCUAACACAUGCAAGUCGAGCGGUAGCACAGAGAGCUUGCUCUCGGGUGACGAGCGGCGGACGGGUGAGUAAUGUCUGGGAAACUGCCUGAUGGAGGGGGAUAACUACUGGAAACGGUAGCUAAUACCGCAUAACGU